UCUAGUCCUCUAAUCACUGUUUCUCUUGCUGCUGAGAGCACUACCUACUUUCUAAGAUAGAAAUGUCGACGAGAGAAUGGUUUCUCCGACUUGUUUGUUUCGUGAUCAAACUACUCCCCGUUCUUAUACUCGUGGCUACGCACGGUGGGUGCCUCUCGUCUACUCCACCUGGUAAUACGAUUACCCGUGAUGUCUGCCGUCCUUGUGAUUCCCGAAAUUGUCACGCAGUAAAUGAGCUACUUUUUAUCUGAUCCCCAGAGGAGAUUAACUUGCAAGAAUGUCAGAUGAAGCACAAGUGUCAGCAAUUCAGGGUGUAUGUACAACUUGAAAUAUCUUUGAAGUAGAUAUAUAAAGUGAAUAAUUAUGGUAUUUCACGUCCAAUCAUUAAUUGCCUGACCACAAGCAGUUGGUUCUGAUAUAUGAUCGAUGCUUAAAACUCGGCCCAUUCGUUUUAAGUGGAUUGUAUAAGGUAGGUGUAAAACGAGGUGAAUCAGUACAACAUGAUUAAUUAUGAGAUGACUAUUACAUGAAUUUAUUUGUUUAGAAAUCUUUAUAUACGAAUGUGUAUUAGAAAAAAAGUACUGUUUAGUUUAGAAAGGACACUCACACAGAAAGCAAUGAAGCAGCUUAAUUCAAGC